GACGAACGCUGGCGGCGUGCUUAACACAUGCAAGUCGAACGGAAAGGCCCUGCUUUUGUGGGGUGCUCGAGUGGCGAACGGGUGAGUAACACGUGAGUAACCUGCCCUUGACUUUGGGAUAACUUCAGGAAACUGGGGCUAAUACCGGAUAGGAGCUCCUGCUGCAUGGUGGGGGUUGGAAAGUGUCGGCGGUUGGGGAUGGACUCGCGGCUUAUCAGCUUGUUGGUGGGGUAGUGGCAUACCAAGGCUUUGACGGGUAGCCGGCCUGAGAGGGUGACCGGCCACAUUGGGACUGAGAUACGGCGCAGACUCCUACGGGAGGCAGCAGUGGGGAAUAUUGCACAAUGGGCGGAAGCCUGAUGCAGCGACGCCGCGUGCGGGAUGCCCGCCUUCGGGUUGUAAACCGCUUUCGCCUGUGACGAAGCGUGAGUGACGGUAAUGGGUAAAGAAGCACCGGCUAACUACGUG
rnacentral:rRNA from 1 species